UCGUGGCAGCAACUUUGCAUGCGGAUAUCAUCCAUAUCAACUUUUCGAUGCCAGUUUCUACACCUACAAUGGUGACCAUGGGUAAUGGGGAAUCAUUCCAUACAGAGACCCUGAGAAACGGCUACCACAUGCAAGGAAGGCAGCAGGCGCGCAAAUGACCCACUCCCGACGCGGGAAGGUAGUGACGA